ACGGAGGGUGCAAGCGUUAAUCGGAAUCACUGGGCGUAAAGCGCUCGUAGGCGGUUUGGUCAGUCAGAUGUGAAAGCCCUCGGCUUAACCGGGGAACUGCAUUUGAUACUGCCAGACUUGAGUGUCGGAGAGGGUGGUGGAAUUCCGGGUGUAGCAGUGAAAUGCGUAGAGAUCCGGAGGAACACCAAUGGCGAAGGCAGCCCCCUGGACGGAAACUGACGCUCAUGCGCGAAAGCGUGGGGAGCAAACAG
rnacentral:rRNA from 1 species